rnacentral:rRNA from 1 species
CAGCAGCCGCGGGAAAACGUAGGUGGCAAGCGUUGUCCGGAAUUAUUGGGCGUAAAGGGCUCGCAGGCGGUUUCUUAAGUCUGAUGUGAAAGCCCCCGGCUCAACCGGGGAGGGUCAUUGGAAACUGGGAAACUUGAGUGCAGAAGAGGAGAGUGGAAUUCCACGUGUAGCGGUGAAAUGCGUAGAGAUGUGGAGGAACACCAGUGGCGAAGGCGACUCUCUGGUCUGUAACUGACGCUGAGGAGCGAAAGCGUGGGGAGCGAACAGGAUUAGAGACCCCCGUAGUCCCUGUCUCUUAUAA